ACCCGCUGAACUUAAGCAUAUCAGUAAGCGGAGGAAAGAAACUAACGAGGAUUCCCGUAGUAACGGCGAGUGAACUGGGA
rnacentral:ncRNA from 1 species